rnacentral:rRNA from 2 species
UCAAUAAGCGGAGGAAAAGAAACCAACAGGGAUUGCCCUAGUAACGGCGAGUGAAGCGGCAACAGCUCAAAUUUGAAAUCUGGCUUCGGCCCGAGUUGUAAUUUGCAGAGGAAGCUUUGGGCGCGGCACCGACUGAGUCCCCUGGAACGGGGCGCCAUAGAGGGUGAGAGCCCCGUAUAGUCGGACGCUAAGCCUGUGUAAAGCUCCUUCGACGAGUCGAGUAGUUUGGGAAUGCUGCUCAAAAUGGGAGGUAAAUUUCUUCUAAAGCUAAAUACCGGCCAGAGACCGAUAGCGCACAAGUAGAGUGAUCGAAAGAUGAAAAGCACUUUGAAAAGAGGGUUAAAUAGCACGUGAAAUUGUUGAAAGGGAAGCGCUUGUGACCAGACUUGCGCCUGGCUGAUCAUCCGGUGUUCUCACCGGUGCACUCUGCCAGGCUCAGGCCAGCAUCGGUUCUCGCGGGGGGAUAAAGGCCCUGGGAACGUAGCUCCUCCGGGAGUGUUAUAGCCCAGGGUGCAAUGCCCUCGCGGGGACCGAGGUUCGCGCAUCUGCAAGGAUGCUGGCGUAAUGGUCAUCAGCGACCCGUCUUGAAACACGGACCAAGGAGUCAAGGUUUUGCGCGAGUGUUUGGGUGUAAAACCCGCACGCGUAAUGAAAGUGAACGUAGGUGAGAGCUUCGGCGCAUCAUCGACCGAUCCUGAUGUUUUCGGAUGGAUUUGAGUAGGAGCGUUAAGCCUUGGACCCGAAAGAUGGUGAACUAUGCUUGGAUAGGGUGAAGCCAGAGGAAACUCUGGUGGAGGCUCGCAGCGGUUCUGACGUGCAAAUCGAUCGUCAAAUCUGAGCAUGGGGGCGAAAGACUAAUCGAACCAUCUAGUAGCUGGUUACCGCCGAAGUUUCCCUCAGGAUAGCAGUGUUGUCUUCAGUUUUAUGAGGUAAAGCGAAUGAUUAGGGACUCGGGGGCGCUUUUUAGCCUUCAUCCAUUCUCAAACUUUAAAUAUGUAAGAAGCCCUUGUUACUUAAUUGAACGUGGGCAUUC